CAGUCGCCGCGGUAAUACGAAGGGGGCUAGCGUUACUCGGAAUUACUGGGCGUAAAGCGUGCGUAGGUGGUGGUUUAAGUCCGUUGUGAAAUCCCCGGGCUCAACCUGGGAAUGGCAGUGGAUACUGGCUCGCUAGAGUGUGUCAGAGGAUGGUGGAAUUCCCGGUGUAGCGGUGAAAUGCGUAGAGAUCGGGAGGAACAUCAGUGGCGAAGGCGGCCAUCUGGGACAACACUGACGCUGAGGCACGAAAGCGUGUGGAGCAAACAGGAUUAGAUACCCCGGUAGUCCCUGUCUCUUAUAC
rnacentral:rRNA from 1 species